rnacentral:rRNA from 1 species
UGCCUAAUGCAUGCAAGUCGAGCGGAACCAUUGGAGCUUGCUCCAUUGGUUUAGCGGCGGACGGGUGAGUAACACGUGGGCAACCUGCCCUGCAGAUCGGGAUAACUCCGGGAAACCGGUGCUAAUACCGAAUAGUUUGCGGCCUCUCAUGAGGCUGCACGGAAAGACGGUUUCGGCUGUCACUGCAGGAUGGGCCCGCGGCGCAUUAGCUAGUUGGUGGGGUAACGGCCCACCAAGGCGACGAUGCGUAGCCGACCUGAGAGGGUGAUCGGCCACACUGGGACUGAGACACGGCCCAGACUCCUACGGGAGGCAGCAGUAGGGAAUCUUCCGCAAUGGACGAAAGUCUGACGGAGCAACGCCGCGUGAGUGAAGAAGGUUUUCGGAUCGUAAAACUCUGUUGUGAGGGAAGAACAAGUACCAAGUAACUACUGGUACCUUGACGGUACCUCACCAGAAAGCCACGGCUAACUACGUGCCAGCAGCCGCGGUAAUACGUAGGUGGCAAGCGUUGUCCGGAAUUAUUGGGCGUAAAGCGCGCGCAGGCGGUCCUUUAAGUCUGAUGUGAAAGCCCACGGCUCAACCGUGGAGGGUCAUUGGAAACUGGAGGACUUGAGUGCAGAAGAGGAAAGUGGAAUUCCAUGUGUAGC